AUUGAACGCUGGCGGCAUGCCUUACACAUGCAAGUCGAACGGCAGCGGACCUUCGGGUGCCGGCGAGUGGCGAACGGGUGAGUAAUAUAUCGGAACGUACCUUUCAGUGGGGGAUAACGUAGCGAAAGUUACGCUAAUACCGCAUAUUCUGUGAGCAGGAAAGCAGGGGAUCGCAAGACCUUGCGCUGAUUGAGCGGCCGAUAUCAGAUUAGCUAGUUGGUGAGGUAAAGGCUCACCAAGGCGACGAUCUGUAGCGGGUCUGAGAGGAUGAUCCGCCACACUGGAACUGAGACACGGUCCAGACUCCUACGGGAGGCAGCAGUGGGGAAUUUUGGACAAUGGGCGGCAAGCCUGAUCCAGCCAUGCCGCCGUGAGUGAAGAAGGACC
rnacentral:rRNA from 1 species